AAAUAGUGGAUCCUGAGAAAUACUGAAUGGUGUGAAUUAUUAGAUAGAUUGCAAAUAUAGGAAGGCAGUAUAUUAAGUGUUCUUUAAAAAAAAGAAAAAAAAGGAAAAAAACACAAAUCUAUCACCUUUCUAAUUUACUUUGGUAACAGUAAACAAUAGUGGUUGCAUUCUUGACAGAAAUCUAGCAGUUUUUAAAGGUAUGUUUAAAGGAUCUCCUAAGAGAACUAGAUUUGCACUUAAUACAAUAUUAAAAUGCAUGCUUAAUAUGAAUAUUGCUUUAAAUGAGCAUCUCGCUAAUGUGACAGCAAUUAGAAGCAUAUCUGAACAAGCACCACGAAACGUCCAAUUCAGUAAGCCUCUUCAUCUCUUCUGCAGGCACUAGGGGACCCUGUCAACACAAAUAUUUUGCAGUACAGAUGCUGAAAAAAAGUUUUGAACUGUUCACUAAGAAGGCGGACAAGUUGUCUCUUUUCAAACAGGGACACUUAAUAAAUAAAACCACUAAGUUGUCCAAACCAUCUUAAGAGAAGUCAGGAGCUUCGAACAGUAAUGGUCCCAAGGCCUUCGAAUGCACACAGGUGAUUGACCUUCAACAAACAGGCAUCAGAAAAAUCAAGAUGUCUUCUGGGGCCAAAGAGAAGAAGGGACCGGCAAGUCAUUCAAGAAAAACAUGAGAGGAACAUGCACUUACCUACUACCUUACUUGGUAUGUACAUGGCACUGAAAAAAAACCCUUUUAAAAAUCUCUCUUGGAAAGCACGGUUGGUUUUUAACCUUAUGUCCUUAACCCCAGAAUAAAAUUUACAGACUGGACAGCCAACACGUGCAUGUGUCCAUAGAAGCUGUAUAUGUAAGAAGCGAAAAGAGGAAUUCUCAAGCCGCUCCUUACAUCUUAAGCAUGCACUUUCUUCUGGUAUACAAAAACAAUAAAUGAUUUUAUUAACUUAU